AAAUGUAUUAAGUUUUGUAUAAAUCUUUUAAUACAAUCAUGUUUUAGGAAUUCAACAUGGGGAGAUCAGUUCCAAAAUGAACGAUGGAUGAGUUAAUGAGUUUCGUUCUUUUCAUGUUACAUUUUGCACAGGGACACCUUUGUUUCCAUGUUUUGAUGUUUUGAUUGAAACUUAAAGAGGUACUUGAAAGCUCAAAUUGAUGGUCAGAGGUUUUGUAGAAAAGUUAUCUUUAUAAAGACUGAUUGAUGCGCUCGACUUACAGGGUCAACGUCCUUCAUUAAUCAUAGUAUAUUAUUGCACUUGUUCAGUUGAAAUGUCUUUGCGAUCAUGCAUCUAUGUGUCUGAGCCACAACACAUUACAUGAGAUAAAGACUGCUCUUUGAUUCAGUCCUAAAAGUGGAUAUAUUGGUAAAAAAAAAGAUGUUAUUGAUAUCCAUUAUAACAGCAAAGAAUGCUAACCAACAACGGUGAUAUUGGUAAUGGUGGUCCAUGAUUUAUUAUUGCUUCUAUGAUUGAUGACAACUUCAUGAGUAAAUUGCAACCACUUUCUAGGAGACACCCUUAAUAAAUGUAUUCAAAGGCCCAAUGCAGUCAAAAAAAUGAUUUUUCUGUGUUUCAUAUAUAUUUCCGCACAAUGAGUUUGGAAUAAUACUGUGAAAUUGUGAAAUUUAUGAUAAUGCCCUUUUUGUGUAAGAGCUGUUUUAAAAGACCGCCUGAAAUUUCUGCCUGUUUUGGUGGGAUGGAGUUUUGGCCGUAAAUUAGUUAAAUUAGUUAAAAGUUAAAAGAAAGCGAGUUCCAAAUCUCUCUGCCAAAAACAGCUAGUUUUCAGUUUUCCCUUCCCCACUCAGACCACUCUCAGACAGUCCAAGAAAAAUUAUUGCUUGAGAAAUUGCUCUUUGCUGAGAAGCUAUUUUUGUUUAUUUUUGACCAUUUUAAUUGAAAACAAUCACAGUAACCUACUUGUUGCCCAGAAAAGAUUUGAUAUUGAGAUAAAAACAGCUGAAUUGGACCUUUAAAAACACCAUUAUAAUGCAAUGUAAGUGUCAAUGUCAGCCCCCUAUAAUGCCGUUAUCUUUUAAACAUCAGCCAACUGCAGUAACCUACCCUUACAUAGUAUGUACUUAUUACUAAUUACAUUUCCUCUACAAAUUGUCAUAACCAUGUGACUUGCUCCUGCUGAAGAUGACUCUACUAAUGGAUUAUAAAUGUAUUCUUAAUCCAGUUUAUCGUUCAUACACUUCAUGUGAGUAUGAAUAUGGGUAAAUAGAGAGAAUGAUUCACGUAAGACCUAUGUGGAAGUAAGUUAGUCUGUGGAGUCCACGAGACAGAGCUCCGUGAGUCAAGUUCACUUCAGACAUCCCUUUUGAUAGUCAACCUGAGGGUGCUAUAGUCAUUGACCUGAUCUCACAGGUGGAAUGUGGACUUCUACUAGACUAGAGGUCCACAUUCCAUAUGACUACUCAUGUCCGUGUCUAAAGCUUUGUGUCAGCAGCUUAUUGCCAAUAUAGCAAAGCUUUAGAUGGAUCGACAGCUUCUACUAUUUUUCUUUAGUCAAUUAUGCUUACUGAUACAAAGGAAACCGGAAUUUUAAGCACAAAUCUGCUGCUCACCAACAGUCAGUUCAUACUGUAAUAUCAAAUGUUAAAGUUUAUCUGUAAUUAUUUACAUACAGAACACUAACAUGUCACAUGCUAGAAUGCAGAAUAAUUUUCGUAUGAAUAUUUGGGAAUUCAUGAAUUUAUUAAACUGCUACAAUUAUAAUUUAUUUUGAGUAAUGCUUUGAUGAAAAUGAUUUUAUACAAAAUGUAUUUCCUUCUCUCCUUUCCCCUGUCCCCUCUUGCAAACUUUCCAACUUAAUUUUGGUACCACAUGGCAUGAUUUUUGUUGAUCUAUAAUUUUUGUUGUAUGUUUAAAAUCACAAGUUGCUAUGAUAUUUCAUUUGAAAUUGUGACGUUUGUACGAUUUUUAUCAUGCUGGUGUUAACAUCUCUUACUCUGAAUAAAACUUGUGUUGCAACA
rnacentral:lncRNA from 1 species